AUUUGCUGUUGCAGAGUUGGAAAUUAGGAAAUUUUGUGGUAAAUAUGACUAAUAAAAUAAGCAGUUUUAAGUUGUUUUUACAAAGAUAAAAUGGGCCAAAAUGUGGAAUUAACUUUAACUAAGUGGUAUGUAUUUAUAUUUUGAAGAACUUGGGACAGAGAAACCAAUGGGAGUAAUUUAUGUCAACUUUUAGAAAGUCUUGGGAAAAUUCCAGGCCAACAAGUUCACCAGAAGAUUGGAGAAAAUGCUUAUUCAUGAAGAGAAAACUGACUUCAGUACAGGAAAUGAAGAAGUGCUGAAGGGAAGGUCUCGGGUAUUGAAGGUGAACACUGAGCCUACGGUUCCUCUCCAUUGAAGCCCAGGUCAAGUCCCAUGUGUUUCAGAGGACAUUUGUCUCCAUCACAGCCACGUCACACCAAGCCUUUGAUUUGUCAGCUCAUCUGGUCAAACACCACUCAAAACAAGAAAUGCUCAGGGAGAAGAGCCCAGCUCAAGAGCCAUACUCCAUUUCUACAGUUGCCUUCUGCCGUCUGCUUUCUCAGAAUCAGAAUCAUGCCUCUAUAGUUCCCUUUCCCCAAUCCAUCAAGGCUUUAAAGUUUGGGGCAUUCACACACACACACACACACACACACACACACACACACAAAUGAAUGUAUAGGCAGUAUAUAUUGCAGGUUCUAUUUAAUGCUAAACAUCAACUUUUCAAAGUCCCUAGAUUUUUCCUCAGAAAUCAUUCUUUUCUGCUGUGUAAUAGCUCCACCUGAGGCUGUA